rnacentral:rRNA from 1 species
GAUUAACGCGAAGAACCUUACCUGGGUUUGACAUCCUCUGACAUCCGUAGAGAUACGGCUUUCGUAGCAAUACGACAGAGUGACAGGUGCUGCAUGGCUGUCGUCAGCUCGUGUGGUGACAUGUUGGGUUAAGUCCCGCAACGAGCGCAACCCUUGUCCUUAGUUGCCAGCAUUCAGUUGGGCUCUCUAAGGAGACUGCCGUGGUGAACACGGAGGAAGGUGGGGAUGACGUCAAGUCCUCAUGGCCUUUAUAUCCAGGGCGACACACGUGAUACAAUGGUCGGUACAGAGGGAAGCGAAACCGCGAGGUGGAGCCAAUCUCAAAAAGCCGAUCUCAGUUCGGAUUGGAGUCUGCAACUCGACUCCAUGAAGUUGGAAUCGCUAGUAAUCGCGGAUCAGCACGCCGCGGUGAAUACGUUCCCGGGCCUUGUACACACCGAAUC